UUGGACAACUGAAGAGCUGUAUGCAAAUUCUCUACUAGCUCUCUGUACAAAAGAGGAGUAUCUGCUUUGUGGAUCAGUAGGAGUAAUAAAGCUGUGUUGACUUCAAAUCAUGAUCCUCUCAUCAGCUCUACUCCUGCUGGCAGCAGCUUCAUCCUGUGGUGUUUACUGUGUCGAGCUCACGCAACCUCCAUCUAUGGUUGUGAAACCUCAAGAAUCAUUUUCCAUCUCCUGCAGGAUUUCAGAAUCAAGCUAUUGCAUUCACUGGAUACGUCAACCCACUGGAAAAGCUCUGGAAUGGCUGGGAUAUCUUUGCAGUGGUGGUAGCAGUAAUAUAAAAGACUCCAUAAAAAACAAGAUCAGUUUCACCCAGGACACGUCCAAAAACACAGUGUUUCUACAGGGAAGUAAUUUUCAGACUGAAGACACAGCUGUGUAUUACUGUGCAAGAGACACAGUGAUUAAACAAGACACAGUUCUGUACAAAAACCUGAACACAUUAAUACAUCCAUCCAUCCAAUCAUUUUUUUUUUUUUUUUUUUUUUUUUUAAUGUUUAAAUGUCUAUUUGUGUUGUUUGUAUUGUGUAAUGGUGACGAAUGAGUUUCCCCUUACAGGGAUUAAUAAAGUUUUCUAAUCUAAUCUAAUCCAUCCAUUCAACCAUCCUUAUAUAAAAAUAUCAGAUAGCCAUAGUCAUUUAACAUUUAUGAAACAUGUUCUGAAACAUUUAUGCAACAAAUCUUUUUUUUUUUUUUGGCUUACUUUAUGCUUACUUUAUCUAGUACCCUUAUGCUCUUUCAUUAUGCAUUAUGGUCAUCUUUUAUUUGUUUGUACAUAUGUCUGUUUUUCAUACACAACGGUACAAACAAGCAUCGAUAGACUGGAGGAGGAGUUUAUGCAAAACUGUGCAGUAUAUUUCUGUGUCUGUGUUCACUGACUGUAUGUGGAUCCUGUAGAGGAGAAUCAAUCAGCAAUGACAACAAUGAUCAGUUCACUCCUGAUAUUACUAUUUUUACAUGAUAUUCAUUGUCAGACCUUCACUCAGUCUCAAGCUGUGGUAAAAAGACCUGGUGAAUCUUUUCGGCUGGUCUGUACUGCCUCUGGAUUUACUUUCAGCAGCUACGGGGCAGCUGUGGUGAGACAGGGUCACGGUAAAGGACUGGAAUGGAUUGCAUAUAUUGGUACAUACAGUACUCCGAUCUCCUAUUCCCAGUCAGUCCAGGGAAGGUUCACAGUGUCCAGAGAUGACUCCAGCAGUCAACUGUACCUGCAGAUGAACAGCCUCAAGACUGAAGACACUGCUGUGUAUUACUGUGCUAGAG